rnacentral:rRNA from 1 species
AGUCAACAUGCCCAGGGGACGUGGAUAACCUCGGGAAACUGAGGAUAAACCGCGAUAGGUCACUACUUCUGGAAUGGGUAAUGACCCAAACCCACAUGGCCCCUGGAUUGGACUGCGGCCGAUCAGGCUGUUGGUGAGGUAAUGGCCCACCAAACCUGUAACCGGUACGGGCUCUGAGAGGAGGAGCCCGGAGAUGGGCACUGAGACAAGGGCCCAGGCCCUAUGGGGCGCAGCAGGCGCGAAACCUCUGCAAUAGGCGAAAGCUUGACAGGGUUACUCUGAGUGAUUUCCGUUAAGGAGAUCUUUUGGCACCUCUAAAAAUGGUGCAGAAUAAGGGGUGGGCAAGUCUGGUGUCAGCCGCCGCGGUAAUACCAGCACCCCGAGUGGUCGGGACGUUUAUUGGGCCUAAAGCAUCCGUAGCCGGUUCUACAAGUCUUCCGUUAAAUCCACCUGCUUAACAGAUGGG